GCAGCGGAAAAAAAAAAAAAAAAAAAGAAAAAAAAAAUUGAAAGAGGAAUGAAAGCUCGUAAAUCAGACAACGGAAUUGGGGUUUUCUAACAAACGCUACCUCCUCCUCCUCCUCCUCCUCUUCCUCUUCUUCGUUCCUCUUCUUCAAUAUUUAUGUUAUUUUUUUUUUUAAUCAAUUCCUAAAAUGUAAAAAAAUACAUCAAAUAUAUUUGCAUAUAUAGAUAUGCACACUGCAAUAAAACCCGCUAAGCAGGGAAAAAGAAUUUUUGGAAUUCAUUUUUGAUUUUUCGAGUUUUAUUGUUUGGGAGCUGAGAAAACGAUAUGCGAUUGAGAAGGUGUUGGUGGGGGAAUUGGGGAAGUGGGAGCAUAAAAACGACGUCGUGCGAUGCAUCAUCAUCGUCUCCAUCAACAUCAUCAGCGGGAGGUCAUCGUUGAUGGGCCUGCAAUUGCAGAUGAGUUGGCAGCCGAGUUUACUGAGUCAGAAGCGGAAGAAUGGUCCACCUUUGGGUUUGAAGAACCUCGGCAAUUCUUGUUACCUCAACAGCGUUCUACAGUGCCUUACAUAUACUCCUCCUCUCGCCAAUUUCUGCCUCCGCAAUCUCCAUUCUUCUCUCUGCGAUUCUUCGGACGCAGAAAGAAAGCGUGACUGUCCCUUUUGCAUAUUGGAGAAGCGGAUAGUGCGGUCUUUGAGUUUGGAUCUUACCCUUGACGCGCCCAUGAAGAUCCAGAGCUGUCUUAGGAUUUUUGCCGAACAUUUUCGCUGCGGUCGUCAGGAAGACGCGCACGAGUUCUUGCGGUAUGUCAUUGACGCCUGCCACAACACUUGCCUGCGUCUCAAGAAGCUGCGACGGAAUGGGAAUGCCAAUGCUAAUGCCAAUGGAACGUCGUCGUCGGUGGUGAAGGAGAUUUUCGGGGGUACUUUGCAGAGCCAGGUGAAGUGUCUAUCCUGUGGCACCGACUCCAAUAAGGUUGAUGAGAUAAUGGAUAUUAGUCUUGAUGUUUUGCAUAGUAAUUCGCUUAAAGACGCCCUGCAAAGGUUCUUCCAGUCUGAGGUUUUGGAUGGCAACAAUAAGUACAAAUGCGAAAGUUGCAAGAAGUUGGUACCAGCCAGAAAGCAAAUGUCAAUUCUUCAAGCUCCCAAUGUUCUUGUCAUCCAGCUGAAGAGAUUUGAGGGCAUUUUUGGUGGGAAGAUUGAUAAAUCCAUUGCAUUUGAAGAGGUUUUGGUUCUUUCAAGCUUCAUGUGCAAAGCAAGCCAGGAUCCACGACCAGAAUAUAAGCUUUUUGGUACCAUUGUUCAUUCAGGCUUCUCACCCGAGUCUGGACAUUAUUAUGCGUAUAUCAAGGAUGCAAUGGGUCGGUGGUAUUGCUGCAAUGAUUCUUUUGUCUCACUUUCAACUGUGCAGAAGGUUUUGUCAGAAAAGGUUUACAUUCUUUUCUUCUCUCGUACCAACCAAAGACAAGAAUCUGCCAACAUCCCAGCUAGCAACAUUUCCAAUGGUGUAAAGUCUCGUGAUUGCAAUGGCCAUGAAGCAUCGAAAAGCAUGAAACCUGCUUUUCCACCUAAAGGAGCUAAUAUAAAGCUAUAUGAAUCUUCUCAUAAGGAUACCCCAACAAUAUCUAAAUUUGAUAAGACACCUUCCAGCCCACUGAUAAAAUUUAAUAUUACUGGGAAUUCUAGUUCCAAAAGAGCUACAGCUGGCAAUGGAAAAGUUGUUUUGAAGAAUCAAGCUAUUGAAACUAACGGAAAUGUCAAUGGCUCAAUUCGUAUGGAGAAACUAGAGAAGGCUAAGUCAACAAUGGUAAACAGAAAUGGUUUAAACAAAACUGAGAAAGUUGAUAGUAUUAACAGUGAGAAGAUGCAAGCAUUUGUGUUGGCAAAAGAAAAUGGUACCAUUGCAAAAGUUGGUGUUAGUUCAGAAAAACCAGAUACCUGUGAGGAUAGUGGAAGAGGCAGUUUGACAAAAGUGAGAGAACCUGAUCACAAGAACCUGGUUAAUGGUGGUGUGAACUUCCACUCUGAGGCCUCUGGGUCCAAAAGAAAACCACAGCACUCUUGCAUAUUGUUUGCACAGGAUGCUGAAUCUUUGGCAAAAGUUGAAGAACUAAAGGAAGUACUCAAGGAAGAAACAUCUUCAGUUUUGCAAUCUUGCGGUUGGAAAGAUAAGAUCUACAGUUUCAUGUCUUCAAGGAAGAGGUUACGUACAAAAGAAGCAGGUUCCACUCCAGAUAAUAAUGAACUAAGGAAGUUGUUGGUCAUGGAUGCCAAACAAACUUUUAUAUCACAAAUACCUGAGUCUUUGAAAGAGGACUUAAUCCAACGCCUUCGGUUGUUUAGCCAAGAGAAGUGACAUCAGGUUCUUGAUCAACUCUCAAGUAUGUCUUCUGACAUCUGUUGCUGGCUGGACCUGGUGUAUAAUCUGUAUACUAAGUGGUUUUGUAGUGUUGGUGAUAUCCUCCAGACAUAAGAGGGAUAUGGGGAUGUGCUAUAAACUCCUUUUCCUUUGAAGCAAGCGCUGGAGUCAGCUGUUAAUGCUUUUCAGUUGGCGCUGUUCUUGAACUUAUAGGUGCGCAAUGUCAAAUUGAGAUGGAAAGUUGCUGACUUAAAAUCUUGCCAAAAGUUUUCUCACAUGAGGCUGUGCAGUUUUUAAUGGCAGAGAACAAGUCAGAAAUUCUAUUCAUUUUAUUGAAUGGACUACACCAAAGCUUUGGAAAUGCUCAAAGAUUACACGGGAACAACGAGGAUAAAACAAGACAACUGCAGAUCAAAAGGCAAUUGACCAAGGCCUUUUCAGAUCAUUACUGCUCCAACUAAAAAUCUUUGUAGAAUUUCGAAAUCAUUAGUGAUAAUUCUUUUGGGGGAAAAAAUCGAUUGAAGUUGGGAUAUGAUGUCCAAGAAAAUGAAACCACCUUUGUGAAAGGAGUAAUGAAAAAAAUUGUGGUCGAUGAUUCUCUAUC